rnacentral:tRNA from 1 species
GAGGGUAUGGCUCAGUGGUAGAGUGCAGUGCUUAGCAUGCACAAGGGCCUGAGUUCAAUUCCCAGUACCUCCA